UACAGAGGGUGCAAGCGUUAAUCGGAAUUACUGGGCGUAAAGCGCACGUAGGCGGUUUUUUAAGUCAGAUGUGAAAGCCCCGGGCUCAACCUGGGAAUUGCAUUUGAAACUGGAAAACUAGGGUGUGUGAGAGGGGGGUAGAAUUCCAAGUGUAGCGGUGAAAUGCGUAGAGAUGUGGAGGAACACCAAUGGCGAAGGCAGCCCCCUGGGUCGAUACUGACGCUCAUGCACGAAAGCGUGGGUAGCAAACAGGAUUAGAUACCCCGGUAGGUACCGUCCGU
rnacentral:rRNA from 1 species